rnacentral:rRNA from 1 species
UACGUAGGUGGCAAGCGUUGUCCGGAUUUACUGGGCGUAAAGGGCGUGCAGGCGGUCUGUUAAGUGCAGGGUGAAAGCUCCCGGCUCAACUGGGAGAGGUCCUUGCAUACUGGCGGACUUGAGGGGGGUAGAGGAAAGUGGAAUUCCCGGUGUAGUGGUGAUAUGCGUAGAUAUCGGGAGGAACACCUGUGGCGAAGGCGGCUUUCUGGGCCCUACCUGACGCUGAGACGGCGAAAGCGUGGGGAGCGAACCGG